CCUACGGGGGGCAGCAGUGGGGAAUAUUGCACAAUGGGGGAAACCCUGAUGCAGCGACGCCGCGUGAGUGAAGAAGUAAUUCGUUAUGUAAAGCUCUAUCAGCAGGGAAGUAAAUGACGGUACGUGAGUAAGAAGCCCCGGCUAACUACGUGCCAGAAGCCGCGGUAAUACGUAGGGGGCAAGCGUUAUCCGGAUUUACUGGGUGUAAAGGGAGCGUAGACGGUAGUGCAAGUCUGGAGUGAAAGGCUGCGGCUCAACCCCAGGACUGCUCUGGAAACUGUACGGCUUGAGUGCAGGAGAGGUGAGUGGAAUUCCUGGUGUAGCGGUGAAAUGCGUAGAUAUUAGGAGGAACACCAGUGGCGAAGGCGGCUUACUGGACUGUAACUGACGUUGAGGCUCGAAAGCGUGGGGAGCAAACAGGAUUAGAUACCCCUGUAGUC
rnacentral:rRNA from 1 species